GGGCGCGUAGCUCAGUUGGCAGAGCAUCUGACUUUUAAUCAGAGGGUCACAGGUUCGAUUCCUGUCGCGCCUACCA
rnacentral:tRNA from 3 species